GUAGGGUGCGAGCGUUAAUCGGAAUUACUGGGCGUAAAGCGUGCGCAGGUGGUUUUGUAAGUCAGAUGUGAAAUCCCCGGGCUUAACCUGGGAACUGCGUUUGAAACUGCAAGGCUAGAGUGUGGCAGAGGGGGGUGGAAUUCCGCGUGUAGCAGUGAAAUGCGUAGAGAUGUGGAGGAACACCGAUGGCGAAGGCAGCCCCCUGGGUCAACACUGACGCUCAGGCACGAAAGCAUGGGGAGCAAACAGGGAUUAGAUACCCUGGUAGUCCAUGCCCUAAACGAUGUCAACUAGUUGUCGGGUCUUAACGGGCUUGGUAACGUAGCUAACGCGUGAAGUUGACCGCCUGGGGGAGUACGAUCGCAAGAUUA
rnacentral:rRNA from 1 species